GGCUCAGUGGUCUAGUGGUAUGAUUCUCGCUUUGGGUGCGAGAGGCCACGGUUCAAUUCCCGUCUGAGCCC
rnacentral:tRNA from 1 species